rnacentral:lncRNA from 1 species
GCCGUGUAAUACCUCCUCGAGGCAGAAAAAUUCUACUUUCCAUCUGCUUGGCUGCGGAGGACCUUGGGGUGGGCUCAGCGUGGGGGCUGCAGGCAGAAAUGGGUCCAGAAGGCAAGGUCGAGGUUAGAGCCAAGCCUGUGGGCAGGGCUACGGGCAGGGGGCGGGGAGGAAUGUGGGUCCAGGCCCAGAGGAAAAGGUUGAAGUUAUAGCCAGGCCUGUGGGCGAGGCCGCAGCAGGGCGGCCAUAGGGGAAGGAGCCAAUGUGUUAUGCAUGUAGAAAAUAGACAAAAUCUCACUCUGUCACCAAGGCUGGA